rnacentral:rRNA from 1 species
AACGAACGCUGGCGGCAUGCCUAACACAUGCAAGUCGAACGAACCCUUCGGGGUUAGUGGCGCACGGGUGCGUAACGCGUGGGAAUCUGCCCUUAGGUACGGAAUAACUCAGGGAAACUUGUGCUAAUACCGUAUGAUGUCGAGAGACCAAAGAUUUAUCGCCUAAGGAUGAGCCCGCGUUGGAUUAGCUAGUUGGUGGGGUAAAGGCCUACCAAGGCGACGAUCCAUAGCUGGUCUGAGAGGAUGAUCAGCCACACUGGGACUGAGACACGGCCCAGACUCCUACGGGAGGCAGCAGUGGGGAAUAUUGGACAAUGGGCGAAAGCCUGAUCCAGCAAUGCCGCGUGAGUGAAGAAGGCCUUCGGGUUGUAAAGCUCUUUUACCCGGGAUGAUAAUGACAGUACCGGGAGAAUAAGCUCCGGCUAACUCCGUG